rnacentral:lncRNA from 1 species
GCCCCCACAGACCACAAGGAGAAGUGGCCAGGGUCAUCCCACUGUCAAUUGGCCCCUGAGCAGUCCCUCCAGUGCUUGGCUUGACACCCAAGACAUACUGGCCCGAUGACCACAACUGUCUGCACACAGGACCCUCCUAGGACAGAGACUUCGGAGAAGCAGGCCACGCCCUCAGCUCCUCUGACAGCCCUCAUGUUCCUGGAGCUCCCGUCCCUCCACAAGGGAGGGAAACCAUGGAGAACUGAAGACGGGAGGGUGAGCCCAAGCGCGCAGGGGCGAGUGUGCACUGGGGCUGAGCCUGGCUGUCACUCCUACUGGCCUCCCAGCUCCUGCUGGGCUGCACCCUGGGGAGCCCCAAGCACAUCAGCGCUCCCCACCAGGCCCUCUUGCUGCUCCUGGCCACAGUGGACAGCAGAAGGCAAGCGUGUGCAGGUGGACGAGAGCAGAGCAAGCCAAGGAAGCGGAACUCGCCUUAGCACAAGCUUCCCUCUACCAGCCCAGUCCUGCCACAGCAAGAACUCACGUGCAGGGCAGGUGCUGGGGCACAGCGGGUUCCACUGCUGCUUAGGAUGUGGGCAUCACAGGUCAGAACGCCUAGAGUCCUGUCCCACUGCUGCUUCCUGGCCAGCUUCCGGCCAGCCCCAGCUGUGCUCCCCUGUGUGGGGGAGGUGAACUUGCAGCUGCAAGACUUCCCUCACCAUAUGGGUGCUGGUUCCAGUCCCAGGCAUUCCUCUUCUGAUCUAGCUCUCUGCUAUGGUCUGGGAGAGCAGUAGAAGAUGGCCCAGGUCCUUGGGCCCCUGCACCCACAUGCGAGACCCUGAAGAAGCUCCUGGCUUCGGAUCGACGCAGCUCCGGCUGUUGUGGCCAUCUGGGGAGUGAACCAGCGGGCGGAAGACCUCUUGUUCUCUGACUCUGUCAAUGCUUCUCUGCAACUGUGGCUUUCAAAUAAAUUAAAAAAAAAAAAAAAAUGGAAGGAGGCC